rnacentral:lncRNA from 7 species
AUUGCUGCUUCCUGCAGAAAGCAAAGAGACUGUAGUCUGUCUCUUAACCUGCAAAGGCACACUCAGUGCGGUCCUAGUGAUGUAGAGGUGGACAACGCAGAGAAAACAAGCAGCUCUUGCCUGAAUGAUGUCAGCCCCUGAAGAUGAAGGCGACCCCAAGGGGAGGGAUGUGCUCACGGCUGCUCCCGAGGGCGCUGCCAGUUUAAGGACCAGCAUGUACCUCCACCAGCCCUGCACCAAGCGGGACUUCUCAGGAAGAUGAAGGCAAAGCAGAAUAUCAUCUCACAGACAUUCUCCUAAAUGGUGCCAAUAUUGCUUGGACUAUUAAAUCUUUUUAGGCUAAUGACUAAUGCUGCAACAACAGAUUACCUCAGAUCUCCAAUUUCAAGCAAUCAUUUCAACUCAAAACUAUCUUCAGGAGUAUUCAAAAUUUGAUACAGAUUACAUACAUGCAAAAUAUUCUUUUCUAUCUCAUUGACAGAAAUUAUCAGCAUCUUUUCCCCUUUCCUUUGAGCACUGCAUAAAGAACCAUUUCCUUGUUCAAAAUCUAAGUCAAAAGACAUCAAAAUUCCCUACGUUCACCAAAUUUACUAUCGCUUUAUGACUCCAGUAAGACAGAAAACUGAAAAAAGAAGUGAUAUAGAAAAGAAGACUAAGUAAUAAGGCACAAACUCAUUACGUGCCCUCAAAACACUUACAGCAAAGGGGCAAUUACACAGGCAUUACACAUGGUUGCAGGAGAAGGUAACAGCAUUUGUCAAAUUAAUUUUUAAUUGAUACAACGUCAUCAUCAUUACACUGACAUUCAUUGUACUGCUGGCAACACCAAAGUCCCGUUUAAAUGGAGCAAACUGUGCUGCUUUGAUAGCAUGUUUAUUGAUGGUACAGACCAUUUGAACAAAUGCCCUUCUGCUGAGCUGCUGCUGCAGAUGAACCUGUAAUCCGGAUCUUUAAGAGAACGACGAGCCUGGAGCUGGCAGGCUGGUGCCCAAGCAGAGCGGAUGUACAGCAGCUGCCAAUCUUCCCUGUGACCACAGGCUGAUUUAUCACCUCCAGCAUAGCUCUGGCAUCAGAAAAGCAAGCUUCCAGCAUGUGGGUCAGCCAGCUCAAAGUGGAGCAAGUUAUAACCUUCCUCUAAAAGACUUGCCAUCAAUUCUCUUUUAUGACAGAUGACUUUUUUUAUGCUAGAACAGACAUAAUGACUACUCAUCCCAAACGUGACAGUGUCCCAUCUUCAGAGCAUCCAAAUCUUCCAAACUCUACUUGAGCAAAGAAUACCACAGUAAGAGCACAGAGAAACUCAUCUGCACUGUAUUUAACUACGCUUUAAAUCUAAUUUUUUUCUUCAAAAACAUAUGUAACAUAUCCUUUGUGUUCCUGCAGCAUAUAUUAAAGUUGUACUUGUUAAAU